AUUUCAAUUGAUGGGUCUCAAGGAGCUCUCGGUAAAAUGUUAACAAAAGUUAAUUUGUAAAUGCGGCCACUCCCCUCUGUGAAAGAGAGAAUGGAACUCGCAUUUAUUGAGCAUCUAGAACGUUCAAAACAUGGUUAGGCACUUUUUCAUGAGGUGUCUCAAGAAGUCUUCUCCACUGCAUUGAAGAGCUAUCCCCAUCUCAUUGAUAGUCUUGGCGAGGUUAGGCAGUUGUCCCACUUACACAGCAUGUGGCCCCAAUAGGGGAUGGAUCAAGUUUCAUCUAGCUUAAAUCUCCAUUUUUGCCCCAUGUCUUACUGUGUUCCAGUGACCCUGUAGUCAGAAACCUUGUUAUCUAAAUAUGGAAGCAAAAGAAGUGCUCUAAGAUGUUCCUCUCUCUAGCUCUUUCCUUCUUUUGGAGAAAACGAGCAAACCUGCCCCCCUGGCUCCCCCCAUCACUAAUCUGUUCAGUGCCCAGACCGAUGUUGUAUAAAAAGAUGAUAAUUUACAUUUGGAUAGUAAUUCAGGAAUUUACAAAGAGUCUGCAACCUCUCAUUUCAUCCUCAUUUUACAGCAGAAGAAAAACUAAAAUCCAAAUAGAUUUGUGACUUAAAGUCUCAUUGUUAAUUAGUAGCAGGGGACUUAACUAAAUCCAGAAUCCCUGAUUCCAAAUACUCUUUCCAUUGCAUCCUCAAGUGAGAACAUGUGUGACUUUUCUCUAAGGAUGAAGAGGAUUUCACUCUCCAGAGCUCCAUUUGUUUCUUCUCUUAUCUUAAGGAGAGCCUAUCCUGCCAAGACAUGGAAUUUAUUACCCUCGGAAUAAGCUUCACUCACAAGCCUCUCCAUACCCUACUGUAAUUAUCUGGAUGUGCAGAUACUAUUCUCCGUCAAAAAAACGUCAAAACAUUCCACAAAUGGGCGUAGUGGAACACAUGCAAAUGGUUAAACCAUCAUUAUUUAUUCCCAGUGAUAUGAGGGUGGUCCUCGGCAGAGCAGAGAGAGGAGGCUCAGGCGAGAAUUCCACCCACUAAAAGAGAGCUGCUCCCCCCUGGGACUUCUUACGUAACUGCUACUGAAGUCCACGGCUAAGCAAGCCCAAGUCUUUUCCACAAGAUGUCAGAACAGGAGUGAGGACCCUAGUGGUUGUCGAGUCUCCCCUUCACAUUGUACUUUAAGAAAAUGAGGAGGAAGAGUUCUCUUGUGUCGCAGUGGGUCAAGGAGUGGGGCGGGGGGAAGGCGUGGACACUGCAGUGGUUCAGGUCACUGCUGUGGUUUGGGUUCAAUCCCUGGCCCAGGAACAGCUUCCACAUGCCAUAGGUGCAGCAAAAAAAGAAAGAGAAAUAGACUUCUCAAUAGAAAUAAGAGAAGCAAAAGACAGUGAUGAAAUGGGCUAAAAGGCGUUCAUUGCCAAUGCAGAGUUCAACACACCAAAAAUACCCUUCAAGAAUGAAGAAAUACAUUUUCAGAUGAUAAAAUCAGUUUAUCACCAAUAAACCUGCCCAAAGGAAAUUCCAAAGAUAAAUCCAAGUUGAUUGAAGUUUAAUGAUGCAAGAAUAAUUGAAGAGCAAAGAAAGUGACAUCUUGUGUAGUUAAAAAUAUUUACAAGAGAACUGAAACACACGACAACACUAACAUAUAAAUCAUAUAAACUUCAACUGUUUACCCAAGUCCUCACAUCAUCUGAGAGGAGACUAAAUGUAUUAACUCACAUUGGACUCUGAUAGGUCGGCAAUGCAUGGUUUGCUGUAAGUGACCACUAAAGGGUAAAAAUAUAUUACUUUCAACUGACAGUCCAAAAUGGGAUGACGGAGAAAGACAAAAAUCUAGAGGGGGGGGAGUUCUCAGGUGGCCCAGCAGGUUAAGGAUCUGGCAUUGUCACUGCAGUGGCUCAGGUCACUGUUGUGGCACAGGUUCGAUCCCUGGCCCGGGAACUUCUGCAUGCUUCACGCAUGGCCAAAAAAAGACAAGAAUUGUCAAACUAAAAUUUUAGAAGUCCAACCAUAUGCUCUUUAUGAGAGAAACAUCUAAAACAUACGGAUACCAGUAGAUUGAAAUAAUGGAAUUAAGUUACGCCGUGGUAGGUAUUAUUACAUAAAACUUAAGGCAGAAUGCAUUACUAAGAGUAAAGGUCAUUGUAUAAUAAAAAUUCCCAAUCACCAGAAGUAUCUACUAAUUCUAGAUUCUACUUACGACUUCAAAACACAUGAAGCAAAAAUUGGUCAUCUACAAGGAGAAAUAUAUAAAUGUACAAUCACGGCGAGAGAUUUUAACACAUUAAAAUCCCGAGGGCAAUCCUUACCUCGUGCAGGAUGAGAACCAAGCAGUAGAAAAAUAAUCACCAUGUCACCCUCAAGUGGUGAUUCUACAUGGCUCUUCAGACAGUCCCCAGAAAAGUAAAGCCCAUUUCCUCUCAGCAGAGAUCAGCUCAGUAGAACAUUGAAUUGGAUUGUCUUCCUUCCUUGUCUUGCUCUCCCCAGACCCCGUUCUUUUUCCCUUGGACUCAUCCCAGAGUAAAUUCUUGCAUGCAAAGUACUUCUCUCAACCCUGCUACUUUGUGGACCCAGGCUAAGACACUUGGUGAUACAAGCAGUUCUACAAACAAACCGUCCAAAUGGAUUCUAGUAUUGGACCAACUGGAUCCAGUAAGGAUCCCAGUCAUGUUGGUAAAUGGGGUGACAUUAACCCUUGGCACGCAGCAGCAUCACAGUUGCUGAGGUUUUCACCAGCAGUGAAUUGGAAUGGUGAAUUCGGAAGAUGAGGCAUUGCUUUAUGUAGUGGCAAUUCAUAAAAAAAUACGUGGUCAGUGUUAAUUAUAGGGAAUGUAGAGCUGGCUGACUCUGGUUGCUGGUCUUUAGAAGUCUUGUGAGAGGAGAGGAAAAUGGCAGCUUGAUUGGCCAACUGUCAACCUCAAGGAAUGCUGUGCAACUGGGAAAGUUUCCAGGACAACAGAGAAAUGUCCCUCUCCCCCCAACAGCCCUAGGAAGAUAGUUGCCAUUCAUCCUAGGCUUUAAUUGUGAGUACAGCUCGGUUACCAAGGAGAACACAGCCUUAAGGAGACUCUGAGGUCAGUGUCAGGGCCCAGCUAAGGAAAUAGCAGACCUUGAGACAUGGGGUAAGGGUAUUUGGAUGGACAAAUCUGAGACCCUUGAACCCCACAUUCCUCUGAUCCCAGGAACUGUCCCUCCUCUUUCCUGGAGAAGGAAUGGUCUUCCCUGGCUGCAGACACUGCGAAGACACCACUAGAGGCAGGAGCUUCACAAGGUGGGGUUCGUCCUAAGAUCUGCCUCUACCUCCUUUGUUUCCUCCAGACCAGCCGUCAAGUCAGGCGCAGCCCAAGCAAGAUGAUCCAGCUCCUCCUUUUGGGAGAUACCGUGUGUACUCAAAGGCUCGAAAGUGUUGGUUAACAGGCGCUAAAGGUGAACCAGAGACCUCAUGUUGGACUGGGUCUUAAGGAGCAGCCAAGGAAAGAUGCCUCCUUGUGUUUCAGUUUCUUCAACUGUCAAAUCUGAUUACGAGUGCCUGUCCAACCUACUUUAUAUACUUAUUAGAGUAAAUGAAGAAAUUAAUAUUAUAGUGAACUCUGCUAGGGACUAUACUAGGCACUUCACAUAAAUUAUUUAAUUAGGAUAAAAUUGGGCAAGUGUAAACACUUAAUCUAGUUCUAAACUUGUUUAGAACACAAACACAACAUUGUAAUCAACUACACGCCAAUACAUUUUUUAAAAGAAGACUUAAAUGUGUUAUUUUUAAUAGCAUGCCCUAGGAAAAAUGCAGAUUUGUGAAACCUUGUUGCCUAAAAGGAAAGAAGAAAAGGAAGCCGGUGUUUCAAAAACUCAGACAUAUUAGAAUAUGGCAUUGAGUAAGCUGUUGUCUUGUUUGGGGGAAGGUGGACCAUCUGAAGAGGGCUUUAGGGACAGUUCUAGUCAUUGACCUUGGGAGAAGCAGGGUAGGAACAGUGCUGCUGCGGAAGCUGAGAGAGCAGUUCUUUGUCCAGUGGAGCACAGUGAACUCCUGGGUGGCACCUGUGGUGUCUUGGGUAACGCAUGGCCUCCCACCCAGACUGCCUCGGUUGGAAUCCCAGCUCUGGCGCUCAGCCCACUGGGGGAUAUUGGACAGGUAGUUACAAAACUCCAUUUUAUGGAGUUCCCUGGUGGCACAGCAGGUGAAGAAUUUGACCUUGGUAGUGCUGCAGCUCAGGUCACUGGUGUGGCAUGGGUUCCACCUCUGGCCUGGGAACUUCCGUAUGCCGAGGACACGGCCGAAAAAAAAAAAUCAAAACCUAAAAACCCUCUACUUGAGCUCUUUCAUCUGCAAUACAGUAGUAUCUAUUGCAUAGGAUAUUUGAAGAUAGAAUGGUUUAAUUUAGAAAAUGAAUGGUGACAAUUACUAUGGAAGCACCAGAAAGCCUGCUUGUUCUGGUGGAAUCAUGCAUGUCCUACAUGGUGUCUAGAAUAAAGGAGAUUCUUAAGAUGGAUAUAAAUUGGAUAAAUGAAAUGCCCAGAUAUCAGGGGUAUACAUGAGACAGGAUAGCUGUGAGUUGGAAAUGGUUGAGGCUCAGUAGUAGGUACUUGGAGAUUUGUUAUACUAUUUUCUGUGCUGUUGUGUACCUUUGAAAUUUUCCUUACUAAAAACGCUUUUUUAAAAGAAUGUUGUAGCUCAGCGGGUUAACCCAGCUAGUAUCCAUGAGGAUGCAGGUUCAAUCCCUGGCCUCGUUCAGUGGGGGUUAAGGAUCUGGUGUUGCCUGAGCUGUGGUGUAGGUCACAGAUGUGGCUUGGAUCCUGUAUUGCUGUGGCUGUGGCCUAGGCCAGCAGCCGCAGCUCUGAUUGAGCCCUUAGCUUGGGAACCUCCAUAUGCCUCAGGUGCAGCCC
rnacentral:lncRNA from 1 species